AUUGAACGCUGGCGGCAGGCCUAACACAUGCAAGUCGAACGAGUGGCGGACGGGUGAGUAAUGUCUGGGAAACUGACCGAUGGAGGGGGAUCACUACUGGAAACGGUAGCUAAUACCGCAUACCAUCGGAUGUGCCCAGAUGGGAUGAGCUAGUAGGUGGGGUAAAGGAUCACCUCGGAGACGAUGCCUCGCUGGUCUGAGAGGAUGACCAGCCACACUGGAACGGAGACACGGUCCAGACUCCUACGGGAGGCAGCAGUGGGGAAUAGUGCACAAUGGGCGCAAGCCUGAUGCAGCCAUGCCGCGUGUAUGAAGAAGGCCUUCGGGUUGUAAAGUACGUUCAGCGGGGAGGCGUUACCCGCAGAAGAAGCACCGGCUAACUCCGUGCCAGCAGCCGCGGUAAUAC
rnacentral:rRNA from 1 species